rnacentral:rRNA from 1 species
UUCAGGAUGACCGCUAGCGGCAGGCUUAACACAUGCAAGUCGAGGGGUAACAGGGAAAAGCUUGCUUUUCCGCUGACGACCGGCGCACGGGUGCGUAACACGUAUGCAACCUACCUCUUACUGAAGGAUAGCCCAGAGAAAUUUGGAUUAAUACUUCAUAACACCACAAGAUCGCAUGAUCUCAUGGUUAAAGGUUACGGUAAGAGAUGGGCAUGCGUCCUAUUAGUUUGUUGGUGAGGUAAUGGCUCACCAAGACUACGAUAGGUAGGGGGUCUGAGAGGAUUAUCCCCCACACUGGUACUGAGACACGGACCAGACUCCUACGGGAGGCAGCAGUGAGGAAUAUUGCGCAAUGGACGAAAGUCUGACGCAGCCAUGCCGCGUGAAGGAUGACGGCGCUACGCGUUGUAAACUUCUUUUAUAUACCAAGAAACCUUCGGACGUGUCCGAAGCUGACGGUAGUAUAUGAAUAAGCACCGGCUAACUCCGUG